rnacentral:rRNA from 1 species
UUCCGGUUGAUCCCGCCGGACCUGACUGCUAUCGGAUUGAUACUAAGCCAUGCGAGUCAUUGUAGCAAUACAAGGCAUACGGCUCAGUAACGCGUAGUCAACCUAACCUAUGGACGGGAAUAACCUCGGGAAACUGAGAAUAAUGCCCGAUAGAACAUUAUGCCUGGAAUGGUUUAUGUUCCAAAUGAUUUAUCGCCGUAGGAUGGGACCGCGGCCUAUCAGUUUGUUGGUGAGGUAAUGGCCCACCAAGACUAUUACAGGUACGGGCUCUGAGAGGAGUAGCCCGGAGAUGGGUACUGAGACACGGACCCAGGCCCUAUGGGGCGCAGCAGGCGAGAAAACUUUGCAAUGUGCGAAAGCACGACAAGGUUAAUCCGAGUGGUUUCUGCUAAAGGAACCUUUUGUCAGUCCUAGAAACACUGAUGAAUAAGGGGUGGGCAAGUUCUGGUGUCAGCCGCCGCGGUAAAACCAGCACCUCAAGUGGUCAGGGUGAUUAUUGGGCCUAAAGCAUCCGUAGCCGGCUCUGUAAGUUUUCGGUUAAAUCUGUACGCUC